AGAGUUUGAUCAUGGCUCAGAACGAACGCUGGCGGCGUGCUUAACACAUGCAAGUCGAGUGCGCGGUUGUAGCAAUACAACUGGCGCACGGCGCACGGGUGCGUAACACGUGGGUAACCUGCCCUUUGGUGGGGAAUAACUCCGCGAAAGCGGAGCUAAUUCCGCAUAAGAUCCGCAAGGAUGAAAGCCGCAAGGCGCCGAAGGAGGGGCCCGCGCCCGAUUAGCUAGUUGGUGAGGUAAUGGCUCACCAAGGCUUUGAUCGGUAGCUGGUCUGAGAGGAUGAUCAGCCACACUGGAACUGAGACACGGUCCAGACUCCUACGGGAGGCAGCAGUGGGGAAUCUUGCACAAUGGGCGAAAGCCUGAUGCAGCGACGCCGCGUGGGGGAUGAAGCAUUUCGGUGUGUAAACCCCUUUCGAUCCGGACGAAACCCCGCAAGGGAUUGACGGUACGGAUAUAAGAAGCCCCGGCUAACUACGUGCCAGCAGCCGCGGUAAGACGUAGGGGGCCAGCGUUGUUCGGAAUUACUGGGUGUAAAGGGUUCGUAGGCGGUGCGGCAAGUUGGGAGUGAAAUCUCUGGGCUCAACCCAGAGGCUGCUUCCAAAACUGCUGUGCUUGAGUGUGAGAGAGGCUCGUGGAAUUGCAGGUGUAGCGGUGAAAUGCGUAGAUAUCUGCAGGAACACCCGUGGCGAAAGCGGCGAGCUGGAUCACUACUGACGCUGAGGAACGAAAGCUAGGGGAGCAAACAGGAUUAGAUACCCUAGUAGUCC
rnacentral:rRNA from 1 species